CAUCAGCAAUGUAGUCAGGGUGCUGAGAAAGCUACCUGAGUAUCAUCAGCAUAAAAAUGAUAGCUAUUAGUAGCUAUUAUUGAGCUGAUAUCUUUGUCCAGAGCAGCUUAAAAAGGUAUCAGUUCAGGGUUAGCAGCUUCAACAAGGAUAAUACAUGUUGGGUCUGGAUAAAAAUGGCAGAAGAACAAAUCAGUCCUGAAGAGGAAUGGAAGGAAUAUCUGGAGGAGAGAAUGGAAGCGUUGCUCCUGCAGGAGUUAUUAAAGUGGGAAGAACAUCUCAGACAAGAAAGGAUGCUGAUCCUAGAGCUGGCUGAAGAAAAAAUUAAGAGAGUCAUGAGGAAGCUCCAAAAAGAAGAAAUUAAUGGGAUUGAAGAGGAGACCACUAUGGAUGGGAGGGAACAGAGUGAAGCAUGGAGAUGGCUGGAAAAACAGCUAAAGGAGGGGGUGAAGGGUGGUGGGGAGAUGAUAGGGGGGCAGGAAGAGAAGGAAAAGACUGAAGAAAAGGAGGAGUCAUGUAAACAGAAUAAUAAAGGGAGAGGGUUGCAGAUCAGAAUUACCAUGGCCCUGGUUAAAAUGAUGGAGACUCCUGUGAAGGAGAAAAAAGGCAAGGAGAAGGGACAGUGGAAGGAGUGGAAGAGUAGGGAGGAAGAAACCAAGGCAGAGAAAGUGGAGAAAAAAGGGAGGGAGAAGAAGGACCAAAGGCAGGACGAGUGUACUGAGUUAGAGAGAAAAGAGAGAGAGGUGGUGGAGGUGGACAGGCUGGAGAAUGAGGGAAACAACAGGAAAGUGGUGAUGGAAACGAAUAUAGAAGAAAACUGGGAGGAAAUAGAGAAAGAGAAGAAAACAGUGGCUGCAAUGAGGAGAGAGAUAUGGGGACGGAUGUAUGUGGGACAGCAGAGGACGGAGGGGACAGAGCAGAAGAAAGGAGUAAAGGUGGAUGACAUAGUCACGUGGAUGGAGCACACCAAGAAAGCAAUCCUGGACAUCAUAGGAGUGAUAUGGAAAGAACAGGAGGACGACACAAACACCAAGCUGUGGACCAGACCACCACGAACUCCAGAAGAGAUUGAGAAGAAUCAGGAGGAAAUAAGGAUGCUGUCUAUGAGCAAACCAAAGCUGCAGACAGAUUUCUCCAUAUUCAUGAUGAAUAGCUGAAGGACAACUGAAAACUUGUACAACAUCAGAUGGAAGAUAACCAUCAGCAGAUGAUGGCACACAUUACACUAUAACAUAAUCCAACAAAGACUUAGAA
rnacentral:lncRNA from 1 species